CCUACGGGUGGCAGCAGUGGGGGAUAUUGCACAAUGGGGGAAACCCUGAUGCAGCGACGCCGCGUGGGCGAAGACGUAUUUCGGUAUGUAAAGCCCUAUCUGCAGGGAAGAAGAAAUGACGGUACCUGAGUAAGAAGCACCGGCUAAAUACGUGCCAGCAGCCGAGGGAAGACGGAGGGUGCAAGCGUUAUCCGGAUUUACUGGGUGUAAAGGGAGCGCAGGCGGGACGGCAAGCCUGAUGGGAAAGCCCGCGGCCCAACCGCGGGACUGCAUUGGGAACUACCGGGCUGGAGUGCAGGGGAGGUAGGCGGAAUUCGUGGUGUAGCGGUGAAAUGCGUAGAUAUUAGGAGGAACACCAGUGGCGAAGGCGGCCUACUGGACGGUGACUGACGCUGAGGCUCGAAAGCGUGGGGAGCAAACAGGAUUAGAUACCCCUGUAGUC
rnacentral:rRNA from 1 species